UACGUAGGGUGCAAGCGUUAUCCGGAAUUAUUGGGCGUAAAGAGCUCGUAGGCGGUUUGUCGCGUCUGCCGUGAAAGUCCGGGGCUCAACCCCGGGCCUGCAGUCGAUACGGGCAAACUAGAGUGUGGUAGGGGAGACUGGAAUUCCUGGUGUAGCGGUGAAAUGCGCAGAUAUCAGGAGGAACACCGGUGGCGAAGGCGGGUCUCUGGGCCAUAACUGACGCUGAGGAGCGAAAGCGUGGGGAGCGAACAGG
rnacentral:rRNA from 1 species